rnacentral:sRNA from 1 species
GCAGACUGCCCAUGGACGAACUGACUGAUCGUGAUGCCUUGCCAGCCCACCCCCCGGGGUUAUGGUAUCAUGUUGGUUUCGACGUGCAGACAACAGCUGUGAAUUACACAGAAACUUAAGAUCUGACCUCAUACCUUCCGGCUUGAGUCUGGGCUCGAAAACCUUUGUAAGGAGCAUUGGGAGUGUUUUUGACUUCCAGCUUAUCAAUUUGAAGCCCAGAUAGUGCAACCCCCAUAAUCUUGAAUUUCACCUCAAACGUUGGGAAUGUAUGCAAAUGAGUAAGCCCUUCUUCAAGGCGUAAAUUCCCAGAGAGAGACGGGGCUUUGUCUUUUGGAAUCUGCCCUAUUGUCCAAAAGCAGGUAUUGACCUGGUCAGCAAGAAUAUCAACUGUGCCAUAGUUUGCAGUCAAAUCAGCAGAAGCAAUAAGUGGGGGCAAUCGAAACUGCACUGUUAUAGAAUCAAUAGUUUUCCCAGGAUCAUUUUUAAUCCCCACCAUCACAUUGACACGGCAAUUCCCCGAAUCUGAUGUUAACUGAGGUUUCACAUAAAUUGGUGUGAGCAAAUAUUUAUGCACCUGUAACUCAUGAGCUCGAACUGCCCGUCAGGGGGAACAAACGAAAGGAUCUGAUUGGACUCCCAAGGUCUGAAUCGGACACAAGGGUGAAACCUCACAUCGUUGAUAAUUGUAGGAUUAGAGAAUGACAAGGUCAGUUCUGGUACACCUGGAAGGCUAGAAUUUACUUGAAUUUUACCAUAUGCUUCACAUUUCACUAGAGCUCCUUCUCUUACCUGUUUACACAUGCAUCUAGUUCUUCAACUAUGUUAACAUAGACUUCAUUACUUGCAUCCUUGACAACAGUUGUUCUCCAUGGUACAAAAGAAGCAGCUGCAUCUGGAAGUUUGUUACCAAGAUUAGAACUCUUACCAGUCACAACAUUCAACAUUUUGCUGACAAUAUUUGGUGGGGCAAUCAUCUCUUUCAAGAUGUUUGGCUCAGUAGUGAGUGGAAAACCGUUGUCCAUCAUCUCAUCUAAAAUCUGCACUCAUACAAUACGAAGUUGUCUUUGAUUAUGUCUUCAUUUAAAUCUCCAAGAUAGUCAGUUAGGACAUCAGCAACCCGUGAGAGAAACUGGAACCAACAACGGGGGCAUCUCCACUUGGGUGCAUGCCAAGAAUGUCACCCCAUUUCGAUAAACUUGAAACAAGUAAUGCGUCGGAAGAGCCGAACAUCAACCUUGGAAGCGUCGCCGGCGGCGUGGGCGAGCACGUAGUCCCAGAACCAGCCGCAGAUGCCGCGGUCCACGCGGUGCGCCGUCAUCUGCUUCUCCACCAUCACCUCCC